rnacentral:sRNA from 2 species
CUACCUGUCAAAGGGGAGUAGCUAUAGGCUUCGGCCUAAACAAAGUCGUCAUUUCAUGGAUAUCUCCAUCGGCUUUGUUGGCAUUUUGAACAAUGCUAAGCAAGACCUUUGCCUUUAUUGGGCAAGGGUCUUUUUUAUUUUAUGAAAUUCCU